UAAUUAACUAUAAAAACUUGAAUAAAAAUUUAAAAAGUUAAGGGCACGUUUGGUUUGCACUAUGAAAGAUUACUAGAAAUAAAAAAAUAUUCGAGAAUUUUAUUCAUACUCAUCCUAUUACUAAGAAUGUGACAUUACUGUCUUUGGUUCGUAUGGUCAUAUUAUUUAAUCAUGUUAUUUAAGAUUACAAAAAAAUAUACAAUUAAUUUAUUUAUUUCUUUAAUUAAUUUUAGAUAAUGCUACAACAAAUUUUGACAUCUUUUUAGAAAAAAAGAGAGAGAGAACAUAGGUUAGAGAGAGAAAGCAUAAUUAAAAAAAUAGGAAGAGAAAUAGAGUCAACAUUAGAGGGAGAAAGUAUAAUUAAAAAAAUAGGCAGAGAAAUAGAAUGGAGAUUAGAGGGAGUGAGAGAAUUGAGAUUUUAGGAAAAAGGGGGAGAGAGAGCUUAGUUUAGAGAGAGAAAAAGAGUUGAAGUUUAGAGAGAGAUAUGAGGUUAGAGUAAAGAAAAAUAAUACCAACUAACCGGCGGAUUGGAAGAAAGAAAGAAAGAUAUUAGAUAUAUUAUGAUUAUCCCAAUCCAUUAAUAUGAGGAUACCCACCAUCUCUCAAGGGAAUGAGAUUUGUGCUUUAGGAUAAAUUUCAUUCCCAAGUAACUAUAAUAUUACCAAUUAGAUUAUUUAGUGCGUUUAGCCAAACACCGUCACAUUUUGUAAUUUCUAUUAGCUUACUAGGAAUCUUAAGGCUUCGUUUGGUUCGGGUAUAAGCAAGAACUAGUUAUACUAGGGAUAGGUACAAGAAUAGAUUUUCGUAGGAACAAGAGUAUUUUUUUGUUUGGGUAAAAAUGUGAGUAUAAGCUGGAACUAGAAAAAUUGUAUUUGGAUGAAAAUUUGAGUAUAAGGUGGAAUAGUUGGUAGUUAUAGAUAGAAAAUAAUAAUUUUACCUCUAUAAUUGAAUUUAACAUUUUAAA
rnacentral:lncRNA from 1 species